rnacentral:lncRNA from 1 species
GUUCAUAAUUAAAUGCUCAGCUGUUCAAAUAACAAUAAAAUGUAAAAAAAAAUACUGUAUAACAAUAGGACAGGAGUACCUUUUUUGAAAUCAAAGCUCCAUAAGGUGCACAUUUAAAUAAAAAAAAUACUUAAAAUAAGCCUAUAAAAUAAAAAUAAGGCCAAUCUUUUUCCGUAAAUAAAUAUAUUUACAUGAGGCUGCGAGCUACACUGAUUGCUUGGACAUGUGCCGCUCCUUCAAUCGUGAAGCACUGAACCUGGACGACAGCAGGGCGCUAUUAUCACCAAUUCUCAAAAGAGACACCGUUGUCCCUAUAAAGAGACUGAAAUUAAUGGAGACACUUUAAUGAAACUAAGACUACGAAAGCUUAAAUAUUCCCCAAAAUGAAGGAUGAAGUUAAAUUUAUAUGAUUACAAGAAAACCUAAAGACUGAGAUGCCAGCAAGACCACAGACACCACAAAUGGAGGAUCUAUCGUGGCCAAAAUUUGUAUCAAAAAAGGCCAAGGUCAGCUGGGUUAAGAGUCACAGACAGAGUCUGGUGGCACAAACAGUGGAUGAAGAGUUGGAUGAAGAAAGACAAAUCUGUGUUGAUUUGGCACACAAAGGUCUCAAUGGUUGCUGCUGUCCUGCUGUUUCCACUUCUGUUAAAGGAGAGUCUGAGAUCUCUUUAUGUCAUCAGUGAGGUGAGUCUAUUUGUAUCCAUAAUAUCUAAAUCUAUCAUUUUUUUUUUUCUUUUUCAACCCCUUCUCUUGGUUAUGAUUUCUUCUAAGUCAAGUCAAGUCUGCUUUAUUGUCAAUUCUUCCACAUGUACAGUACAUACAUACAGAGAAUCGAAAUUGUGUUACUCUCAGACCCCCGGUGCAUACAGAUAACACUAACAGUAGAGCCUAAAAUCUACAUCAAAUAUAACAUAUAAGAUACAUAUAAGAUUUUCCGUGAACACAAAAACACAACAGUCUCUUACAGUCCUCUGAGUUGAACAUAGUAAUCGGAUGAAGUCCAGUUUAUUUCCAAAGAGUGUACCCCCUACGACUCGUCCCUCCUUCUUGCCGACAUCCAGCAGAAACUCACGACUGUAUGCGCGCUUAAAGACAGAUAGACGCGAUGACGACGUACAAAAACACUGCGACUCACAAGACAAAAAACACGAAAACACCGUUCUGUCGGGACAGAGAGAAGCCGCUGCGUGUGGACGCGCCGCCAUCUUUUAAUGAUGUUUAAUCUAUAAACAUUUGUUUAUAGAAUGGGGUUAUUCUGUGGAACUGUUUGUGUCCAUGCAGGUUCCACAGUAACAGCAGCAAGAAUGAAUAAAGGGAAAAUUCAAACAAAAAUUUAAAUUCUGUUAUCAUUUCCUCACUUUCAUGUUGUUUCAAACUUGUAUUACUUUCUAGAAAUUAUUUUCAAGAAUGUCACUGAAAAUCACUGACAUGUUGUUCUGGACCCCAGUGAUUUUCAUCUUAUGGUCAUUCUGUAACAUUCUUAUUCUUAACAAUAUCUUAUUUUGUGUUCUGCAGAAGAAAAACAUUAUACAGGUUUGGAACAACAUCAGGGAGAGUAAAUGACUACAAAAUAUCCCUUUAAUGGAGCCAUACACGUUUGAUUACAAUUUGCUAUAUAUAUAAUUAUAUUUUUCUCACUAUUGUCAACUUAUAAUAUAAGGGAUUCUUGCAUAAUUUAGUUUUUCAUGACCACUUGCCACCCUCUCUAUUAUCUUUUGUAUAUUAUUAAUAUAGUUUACACUGCCUCAUCUUUCUUUUUAAAGCCUCUAUUACAUUGUGACAGGUUAAAAAAAAGUCAAAGAUUUAUUACCAUCUUAUUUUUGGAAUCUUAAUUAAAUAAUAAUAAUAAUAAUAAUAAUUAUAUAUAUAUAAUAUAUAUAUAUAUAAUUUCACGUUAACUACUAAAUAUUGUUAUAGUAUAACAUUAUUUUCUCCUUGUUUAGG